rnacentral:lncRNA from 1 species
CCUGCUACAACUAAACUCUCCGUGAAGCAAAAAAGGUAUGGACUGUAGGUGCAAGUAAGAAUGACAACAGGCAGAAUGUGGUACCGUUUACAAGGACUUUAUUCCUUUACACGGUAAUAUGGGGAAAAGGGGCUGGACGGAACCAAAGCAAAGAAAGUAAAUCUCAAAGCCCCCCCCUCUCCUAUCUUACCUGCCUACCCACUACUUACCUAAUUUAGCACCACCUGGUGCCCUAACCAAAAUACAAGGGGAGGUCCGCCCAGGUCUUACCUAGUGUGUCUAGACAGCGAAUAUGCUACGGGUAUAUGUAUGCCCGCGGGCCUCUUGCCUAAGCACUCCCUAGGUGCCUUCCCCUUCCCCCYUGGGAACAAAUGAAACAGAAUAUUAAACAAUUUCAAACAAACUAAGAAACAAAAGGAUGUCAAAUAAGCUCUAUCUGAGCAACAAACUCACAGAACAUACCACUUUCCAGCAAAAUCAACCUCUAUCACAAUCAAUCUCAGCAAUUCUCUCUAGCAAAAAAGAAGAUCUCCUGAACAGAACACUGGCUUUUAUAUAGCUUCUGAAGGAAUGGGUAAUUGGAGACAGCUGUGUCUUGACGAGGGGGCGGGGUCAGCCCUGGAGUCGACCAAUCAGCUGCUUGAGGGAUUUCAGGAAGCCAUUUCCUGAAAUAAACACAUGUAAAUACACAAACUACAACACAAUCUGGGGAACGUAACACCCAUUACAUUAAGGAUAAAGAAAGCAAAUUUGGCAACGAUUGGGCGCACAUAUCUCUGUCCUCUUUGUCCAAAACGGUGUACACGUUCGAGUUGGAUUUUAUAGACAGCAUCGAGUAGGAUCUGAAGCGCUGUAAGAAAGAAUACCUUCACUACUCUUUCAGGAACUUCUCCUUCUUCAAUACCAGCAAUCUGCACCGCUGUGUUCAGUCCGCCAUCUUGGAAUCUACGUGCGCAGGCCAUUGGAAUCUACGUGCGCAGGCCGUUGGAAUCUACGCGCGCAGGCCGCUGGAAUCUACGCGCGCAGGCCGCUGGAAUCUACGCGCGCAGGCCGCUGGAAUCUACGCGCGCAGGGCCGCGGGAAGCUACGCGCGCAGGCCUGGAAGCUAACGCGCGCAGGCCGCUGGAAUCUACGCGCGCAGGCCGCUGGAAUCUACGCGCGCAGGCCGCUGGAAUCUACGCGCGCAGGCCGCUGGAAUCUACGUGCGCAGGCUAGAUUAUUUUUAAAAUAAAUUAAACAAAAUGUAUUUCUCUGAAAAACUGUACUAGUAUAAAAUACAUUGCAUACAAUAUAGAUCAACAUUUGUAUUAUUUAUUUUAUACAGUCUAUUUUGCUCAUCUUUAUCAAGGGAUCCAAUAAUUCUAGACCCCACUGUAUAUUACAGAAACUACACACAUUUCAUGUAGCA